CCAGCCCAACGGACCGUCCUGGAGCGAUACGAUGCACCCCGUCACCAAAUAACUUUGUACUCCUAAAUGAAUAACAAGGUUCAUUCACGCCUGAUAUGAUGAUGUACCAAUGGAUGCAUAUGAUACCUUCAAUGAUUCCCAGGACCUUUGACCAGCUAUCCUAACAUUACACCAACAUAUCAUGCAUAAACGUAGAAGAUUGUCUAGACCUCCCUUCGUCUGUUUUCAUCUUGUAGGUUUCAGCCAAGUUGUGUGUUCUUUGGUGGCUUAAGAUGCAGUGAAGCCCCUCUCCUAGAGAUGCUGGCAUCACUGGUUGGGCCAGGCUUUAUUGACGAUUCCCAAAUACUCCAGAGAAGGUGGAAAAGGCUGAAUUCUGCUCGCCAUCACAAAGGUCAAUCACCAAGGCUCCAAUGAGAAACUACUAUGUAACUGAAGAACAGUUGGUUCCAUGGCAACUCUACUCCAGAUAAUUGAGAAUCUAAGGGAGAUAACUGAAGAAAAACAAAUGGUCUUUGAGUACCUGACAGUUCUGAUAUACAUUUGACCACUUACCCCUGAAGUCAAUGCUAUUACAGUAUUCCCAGAAAGUCAUUGCCAUCAUGCUAAACAGCAGUAGGCACUACAAAUUGCUGGACAAUAUAAAUCAAAUAGAAUAUUGAAAAAGUGCUUUCAAGUUACUCCCACUUCCACGCACUGAACUGCGCCCCCGCCCCCGCAAACAGUUCCAUGGAUGACAUAACAUUCUACUUCAGAAAGGCUAGAAGGUUAUUUCAAGAAUGACUUUUCUGUAUCAUCCCAGCAUCUCCUCCACACGCUUGCUCAAAUUCACAGUCAUCAAUUCGUAAAACUAA